rnacentral:rRNA from 1 species
AUUGAACGCUGGCGGCAGGCCUAACACAUGCAAGUCGAGCGAGCGGCGGACGGGUGAGUAAUGUCUGGGAAACUGCCUGAUGGAGGGGGAUAACUACUGGAAACGGUAGCUAAUACCGCAUACCAUCAGAUGUGCCCAGAGGGGAUUAGCUAGUGGGUGGGGUAAAGGCUCACCUAGGCGACGAUCACUAGCGGGUCUGAGAGGAUGACCAGCGACAGUGUAACUGAGACACGUUCCAGACUCCUACGGGAGGCAGAAGUGGGGAUUAUGGCACAAUGGGCGCAAGCCUGAUGCAGCCAGUCCGCGUGUGUGAAGAAGGACUUCGGGUUGUAAAGCACUUUCAGCGGGGAGGAGUUGGCCGCAGAAGAAGCAGCGGCUAACUCCGUGCCAGCAGCCGCGGUAAUAC